ACCUCAAAAAAACCACAACAGUCUGUUUCAUCCGUAUAGGAAUCAUCAGGUGGUGAUUGAAUCAUCACCUGAUGAUUCCUAUACGGAUGAAACAGACUGUUGUGGUUUUU